UGACAUGCAACGAAACAACGCAACAAAUGAACAUAGAUUCAGAGGAAGAUAACAUACCGAAAGAGAUUGUUAAGGAAGUUGAGAAUUUUUAAAACAGACUAAAGUCCAACCUAGCGAGACUAAGAUUGUUAACCUGGGAGAUGCAGAAAAUGUCAAAGAAACCCGAAUAAACAUCCACUUAUCGCCAUCAAAAAAGAAGGAAUACAUAGAAUUCCUACAGGAUUAUAAGGACAUAUUUGACUGGUCAUAUGAUGACAUGACUGGUCUGAGUACAUCUAUUGUGGCUCAGAAACUUCCAACCGAUCCAAUAUGUUCGUCAGUAAAGCAAAAACUCAGAAAGUUCAAGCCUGAUAUGAGUUUGAAAAUCAAGGAAGAAGUCACCAAGCAGGUCAAAGCCAAGGUUCUCAGAAUAGUAGAAUACCCGACAUGGUUAGCCAACAUUGUGCCAGUGCCAAGAAAGGAUGGAAGGUCAGAAUCUGUAUUGACUACUGGGAUCUCAAUCGGGCCAGUCCGAAAGCCGACUUUUGUUUGCCAAAUAUAAAUAUCCUGAUUGACAAUUACGCCAAGCAUGAGUUGCAAUUUUUUGUAGAUUCUUUCGCUGGAUAUCAUCAGAUCUAGAUAGAUUAAGAUAAGGAUGAGAAAAAUGGUUUUUGUUAUGUCGUGGGGAAUGUACUGCUACAAGAUGAUGUCGUUCAGCCUGAUUAAUGCAAUGGCCACCUACAUGAGGGCCAUGACUACCAUUUUCCAUGAUAUAAUACACAAGGAAAUAGAAAUGUAUGUAGAUGAUGUUAUCAUCAAGUCCAAGAAGGCCAUUGAUCACAUGGAAGAUUUGAGGAAGUUUUUUAAUAGACUGCAGAGGUAUAGCCUGAAACUGAAUCCCAUGAAGUGUGCAUUUGGGGUUCCUACUAGAAAACUACUUGGGUUUAUUGUGAGUCGUUGAGGGAUAAAGCUGGAUCCAUCAAAAGUCAAAGCCAUUCAAGAAUUUACACCGCCAAAGAGCAAGAAGGACGUAAUGAGUUUUUUGGGGAGACUCAACUACAUCAGCCAAUUCAUAGCAUAAUCUACAGUUACUCAAGAGCCAGUCUUUAAGAUGUUGAAGAAGGACGCCGCUACCGAAUAGACUGAUGACUGCCAAAAAGCUUUCGUCUAAAUCAAGGAAUACCUAUCAACACCACCAGUCUUGAUCUCGUCCGAGCCGGGUAGACCUCUAUUACACUACCUUGCAGUAUUGGAUGGAGCUUUCGGUUGCGUUCUGGGGCAGCAUGAUGAAAUGGGAGGAAAGAGCAUGCCAUAUAUUAUCUCAGUAAGAAGUUCAUCCUGUACGAGGCUCGAUAUUUAUUGUUAGAAUACACCUAUUAUGCUCUGACUAUGGUAGCUCAGAAGCUGAGACACUAGUUCUAUGCCUAUACUACAUAUCUCAUAUCAAAGAUGGAUCCUUUGAAGUCCAUCUUCCAGAAUCCCAUACCCACUGGCAAGCUAGCCAAGUGGUAAAUCCUGUUGAGUAAAUUUGACAUUGUCUACGUGACUCAUAAGGCAAUCAAGGGGUAUACACUAGCAGAUCACCUUGCUGAAAAUCCCGUAGAUGGAGAAUACGAACCCCUGGAAAUGUAUUUUCCUGAUGAAGAUCUAUCAUUCAUAGGAGAAGACAUUACAGAAUCCUAUGAUGGUUGAAGAAUGUUUUUCAGUGGAGCAGCAAAUUUCAAAAGAGUUGGCAUAGGAGCAGUCCUAGUGUCAGAAAUCGGUCAGCAUUUUUAUAUCCUCAUUUAAAUCGGGUCAAAUUAGAGUAUAACAUAUUAGCGAUUCUGAGAUUUAGUUAAUUUAAGAGAGUCGCCACCUAAUUAAUUCUAAGGUGAAUUAAGACACCUAUUUUAAGCUUAAGUCAAACUCUGUCCUUAAUUUAAGUGAGUCGCCACCUAAUUAAUUCUAAGUGAAUUAAGACACCUAUUUUAAGCUUAAGUCAAACUCUGUCUUGUGGUCUUAACCUAAAGAUUCUAAGUAAGGGUUUUAAUAGUUUAAAAGGAAGGGUUUUAAAGCACCUUUUAAAGUCCGUUAAUAACGAUUAACCGACCAAGCUUAGGUUAAUAAGAAUUGUAUAAAAAUAUCAAAAAGUAUCGUUUGAGGUAUUAUAACAAAUAUAUCUUAGAAUAGAGUAAUUUAACUUUUAAAGACUUUAAUAAACUUUUGAAGAAUAAUUACUGAUAAAAAAAAUACCUUUUCUCUUAUUUGUCUAAAAAAAAAAAGUAGUCCAGGUGAAGGAUUUUCUUUUUUGAACUUUUCAACUAGAAAACGUCAGCCAACUUCAAAAUCAAGAAAUGUUUUGUAUAUUUCCUUUUUUUAAGAGAUAAAUCCACAUUUUUCAAGAUGUUAUAUGAAAUAAUUUUUCAAUUUCAGUUGAAGCACACCCCCACCCCUUUUCUUCUCUUUUUUUUUCAAGAAGAUCUGAUUCAAAUCCAAUCUUAUAUAAUAGAAACCUGAAACCUGAAAUAGGCGAAUCUUGUAUUAAUAUUCAUAUUACUCCAGGUGCAUAUGCCAGAAUAAAGAAAGAGAAAAUAUGAAAUUAAGAAGAGAACUAGACUUGGACAAAAUUUAUAACAAGAUUAUGAACUAAAAAAAACAAACAAGCUUAUGCUAAUAGAUUUAUGGUCUUUAUACAAAUUCAUGUGAAAUCUAAAGGGCCGGACAGAUUAAUAUAGACAACAUGAUUCUUGACACUUAUAACAUGGUUUCUACUUUCAUUAUAAGUCAUAAAUUAGAUAUCAAAAUCCCAGUAGCAUUCUUUUUAAAAGAGAUGUCAAAACGUUAGAACCCUUUCUUUAAACAACUAUUACACAUGAUAUCUAAAGAAUGUUACUGGGAUUUUAGAUGUUAGCACAUGAUAUCUAAAUACAUGUUCUUUGAGCAAUGUUCUGGAGUAAUAAUAAAUUAUGGAUAGAUUUGCUGCAUUCUUUUAAAGCAAUAAAUCAACUUAGACUCCGUUUAGGCAAGAAUUCAAUACACAAUCAUAACAUAGUGACAAUCUAGUCUAGUUAUAAACAUGAUUCAAACCAUUACAAGAAAAACUAAUUAGUUUACUUUAUUAAAUUGCUAAUGAGUAUUUAUUGACGAUAUAGAGAUGAUAAACUCAUUACUAUUUACUCCUACUUUCGUUUAUUCAAAUGAACAGAGUACAGUGACCAACUAAUUCCUAUUUCUAUAAACAAAUAGACAGUAAAGUCUUAGAACAAACUUCAGAUAUGUUAACAACCACUAAUAUCUAGAAUUAGCAUAUAAGUACAGAAUCCUAACUCAACGACUUCUAACCAAGAUAAUGAUAUAAACACAAAUAACAAACAACAUAUCAAAUAAAAUUUUUUCAUGAUAUUUGAACUUGAACGGAAAACAUAAAAGGUAAUCAAAGGUUCACUGGUAAUACAUGCCCCAUAUGGAUUUGUCUUAAAACAUAAAAAGAGGAAAGAUAAAAAAUACCGACCUUUUUGCGAUGCAACGAAUUCGGGCGCGUUGAAUAGAUCUAUAGAUUCUAGUUUCGGACUCAUACUCGAGCUUACAACCGUAAACUUUUAUAAUUUCCGAAAAAACAAAAGUGCAAAGAACAAUUCCUAUGUUAUAGCAAAGAGUAACAGAGGCCACACAACUAAGAAUUUUAGAGUAUCUUGAAGAAUAAAAUUAUUUUGAAGAUAAGCUCCCAAGUUGUCCUCAAUUAUUAUCAGACCUUUGUAUUUAUAGAAGAAUUACUAGGCUUUUCUAGGCCUAAUUUUGGCGAGAUUCUUGAAGGGUUAGGGUUUCAAACGGAUCAAGAACCGUUUGAAAUGGCGUGUAGAAGAAAGAAAAAGGACCACAUAGGUAGGAGAAGCAAAGAUUCGAAUGCCAAAAUUGUAAAAUCUUGAAGGAAACAAAAAGAGAACCCCCUUUUGCCUUUAUCAUCUUCAUUGUAAAUAGCAAACAAAUUUGAAUUCUUCAAUGGAAGUUCUUGAGUUUGCAGAUGAUUCUUUAGAAUGGCGACACAAAUUUUUUAUUGUAAGAUAUGAGACUCAAAUUUUCUAAGUAAAUAGAAGGAGGCAAAAAAUGAUUCUGCCAUGGCAAAGAAAAGAGAACCGUUGGUUUUCUUUGGAAGAGGGAAAGAGACAGAACUUUAG
rnacentral:lncRNA from 1 species